AACGAACGCUGGCGGCAUGCCUAACACAUGCAAGUCGAACGAGACCUUCGGGUCUAGUGGCGCACGGGUGCGUAACGCGUGGGAACCUGCCUUUAGGUUCGGAAUAACUCAGAGAAAUUUGAGUUAAUACCGGAUAAUGUCUUCGGACCAAAGAUUUAUCGCCUUUAGAUGGGCCCGCGUAAGAUUAGCUAGUUGGUGGGGUAAAGGCCUACCAAGGCGACGAUCUUUAGCUGGUCUGAGAGGAUGAUCAGCCACACUGGGACUGAGACACGGCCCAGACUCCUACGGGAGGCAGCAGUGGGGAAUAUUGGACAAUGGGCGAAAGCCUGAUCCAGCAAUGCCGCGUGAGUGAUGAAGGCCUUAGGGUUGUAAAGCUCUUUUACCCGAGAUGAUAAUGACAGUAUCGGGAGAAUAAGCUCCGGCUAACUCCGUGCCAGCAGCCGCGG
rnacentral:rRNA from 1 species